rnacentral:rRNA from 1 species
UCGAGAAUCUUCGGCAAUGGGCGCAAGCCUGACCGAGCGACGCCGCGUGCGGGAUGAAGGCCCUCGGGUUGUAAACCGCUGUCGUAGGGGAGGAAUGGCCGGUGGGUAAUCUCAUCGGUUUGACCUAUCCUAGGAGGAAGGACGGGCUAAGUUCGUGCCAGCAGCCGCGGUAAUACGAACCGUCCAAACGUUACUCGGAAUCACUGGGCUUAAAGGGUGCGUAGGCCGCGCGGAGGGUGGGAUGUGAAAUCCCCCGGCUCAACCGGGGAAUAGCGUCCCAAACCGCCGUGCUCGAGGGAGACAGAGGUGAGCGGAACUGAUGGUGGAGCGGUGAAAUGCGUUGAUAUCAUCAGGAACACCAGUGGCGAAGGCGGCUCACUGGGUCUUUCCUAACGCUGAGGCACGAAAGCUAGGGGAGCGAACGGGAUUAGAUACCCCCGUAGUCC